rnacentral:rRNA from 1 species
UCAAGCGAACAAGGGCGCAGGGCGAAUGCCUUGGCACUGGGAGCCGAUGAAAGACGUGAUAAGCUGCGAUAAGCUUCGGGGAGCUGCAAAUAAGCAUUGAUCCGGAGAUUUCUGAAUGAGGAAACUCACCUGGGUUCAUACUCAGGUACGUUACACUGAAAUUCAAAAUAGGUGUAUCGAGGGAACCGCCUGAACUGAAACAUCUAAGUAGGGCGAGGAAGAGACAUCAAACGAGAUUCCGUAAGUAGUGGCGAGCGAACGCGGAAGAGGGCAAACCGAGAGUAGAAAUACUUUCGGGGUACGGACUGCUUUUAAGACUCAAUCUGUUAACCGAACGGCAUGGGAAGGCCGGUCAGAGAGUGUGAGAACCACGUAGGUGAAAACGGAGAGAGCUGCGCAGAUUCCAGAGUACGGCCAGACACGUGAAACCUGGUCGGAAGAUGGGGGGACCACCCUCCAACCCUAAAUACUACCCAGUGACCGAUAGCGUAUAGUACUGUGAAGGAAAGGUGAAAAGCACCCCGGGAGGGGAGUGAAAAAGAACCUGAAACCCUGUGCCUACAAGCACCUAGAGCACGUCAAUGUGUGAUAGGGUACUUUUUGUAGAACGGUCCGGCGAGCGAUUGUAUGCAGCAAGGUUAAGGACUUAAGGUCUGGAGCCGAAGCGAAAGCGAGUUUGAAAAGGGCGUUAAGUUGCAUAUAAUGGGCCCGAAACCGGGUGACCUACCCAUGGUCAGGUUGAAGUGGAAGUAAAAUUCCAUGGAGGACCGAACCGACCUCCGUUGAAAAGGCGGCGGAUGAACUGUGGGUAGCGGAGAAAUUCCAAUCGAACCCGGAGAUAGCUGGUUCUCCCCGAAAUAGUUUUAGGACUAGCCUCAAGUUAGAUACCUGGAGGUAAAGCACUGAAUAGCCUAGCGGCCGAGAGGUUAGCGAAGCUUAUCAAACUCAGAAUGCCAGAGUAUUGAUGCUUGGGAGUCAGACAGUGUCAGAUAAAUGUCAUUGUCAAAAGGGAAACAGCCCAGAUCUACAGCUAAGGUCCCAAAGUCAGGUUAAGUGGAAAACGAUGUGAAGAUACGCAGACAACCAGGAUGUUGGCUCAGAAGCAGCCACUCAUUCAAAGAGUGCGUAAUAGCUCACUGGUCGAGCGUCUUUGCGCGGAGAAUUUAACGGGGCUAAACCUGACACCGAAGCUUAGGCAAUACAGCAAUGUAUUGGGUAGGGGAGCGUUGUAUACGCGGUGAAACAGUAGCGCAAGCGGCUGUGGAGUGUAUAGAAGUGAGAAUGCCGGAAUGAGUAGCGCGAAUGCAGUGAGAAUCUGCAUGGCCGAAAGCCUCAGGUUUCUGGAGGAAGGUUCGUCCGCUCCAGGUUAGUCGGGAGCUAAGGUGAGGCCGGAAGGCGUAGCCGAUGCACAGACGGUAGAGAUUCCGUCACCACCAAAAGAGUUAAGCACAGGGACACAUUUGAAGUCUCAGAGCCGGGUGUUGGUUCCGGUAGAGAUCGAGGGAAAUUAGUACCGAAGUCUGAGAUGGAAGAUGGCGAGAAAAGCUGUGUGUAUUUCUGAGGUGCCCGUACCGCAAACCGACACAGGUAGGUAGGAAGAAGAUUCUAAGGCCAACGGGAGAAGGGUUGUUAAGGAACUCGGCAAAUUGACCCCGUAACUUCGGGAGAAGGGGUGCUCCAGAGAUGGAGCCGCAGAGAAUCGGCCCAAGCAACUGUUUACCAAAAACACAGGUUUGUGCUAAAUCGAAAGAUGACGUAUACGAGCUGACGCCUGCCCGGUGCUGGAAGGUUAAGAGGAGAUGUGCAAGCAUUGAAUCGAAGCCCCAGUGAACGGCGGCCGUAACUAUAACGGUCCUAAGGUAGCGAAAUUCCUUGUCAGGUAAG